CAGAGAGUGUUUAUUCACAAGUAUUUUUUAAAAACCAAGAACUGUCCUUUAAUGUCAAACGGGUUAUGUAUUGCAAUGACUCAGUAGGAAGGCAGAUCUACUGAGGGGCGUGGUUAAUCUGAGAAGAAUAAAAAGGAUUAGAUAAUGUGUGUGUAAAUUUGGUCUGUUUGAAAGAAAAACAAGAGGCCACUUGGACACCAUAAGAGUCACUGAUGAUGGAAGAAGAAUCAUCAUUGAGUUCAGAGAGCAGUUCAGAAUCUGACUAUAGUGAGGAUGAAGGAAAGAAAGCAGAACAACGGAGAAAACGGAAAAUGACAACACAAAGAUAUUCUAGGCAGUCUAUAGAAAAACUGAUAGAAGAGACACCUCUGCUUCCUGUAACAUGUGGCGAUAAAGAAGGUUGCUUGUUUAUUGAGAAAUUUUAUAACAGAGAGAAAUGCAUCUUGAGCGAAGAUCAGUGGUUUAAGCCCAGUGAAUUUGAGAAGUUUGGAGGGAAGGAGAAGAGCAAAAAGUGGAAGACCACCAUCCUUUGCUGUGGCGUUCCACUCCAGAAUCUAAUAGAGGAUAAAUUUAUUUCAUGCCCAGACUUUAAGAAAAGUAGAAUUCAACAUGACGAGAGUGAAUCUCGUGAAAGGUCACCUGUCCCUGGCAGGCUCAGAAAAACAAAGAGAAACUCUUCUGAAUCCUCACGUGAUUCUGGCAUGCUCAGAAGAACAAAGGCUAGGAAAAAGCUGGUUUCCUCCAGCUCUGAAUCAGAAGAAAGAGACAGCGUCCACUAUGAGAACAACAUUGAUGAUGAUGAUGAAAUGAACAUUACCAUGUUUCAAGGUCCUACCCUACCUGUUACCUGUGGCUCUGUCACUGGCAUUCUACACAAAAAACGCUUUGCUAAAGGAUACUGUGGGAAAUGCAUAAGGACUGAGGAUUUAUGGCUGACACCUGAGGAUUUCCUUAGACUGGGCAAACCAGAUGGGAUAUGGAAGAAAGACAUUGUGGUUCAUGAAACAACGCUUGGAAAACUUAUCUUGAGAAGAGUUUUGGAACCUGAUGCUGUUAGCUGUGAUUGUGAUGUCUGUCAAGAACUCAAUCAAACCAAUGAUGACGAUUGUUACGUAUGUGCCUCUGAAGAAGAGGUUGUGUGCUGUGAUGAGUGUCCACGAGCUUUUCAUCCACACUGUCACCUACCAGCAGCUGUGGACAUCGACUCUGGAAGCCAAUGGACCUGUACAUUUUGUAUGAUGAGAAAAAUGGAGGAAUCGAAUCAAAGGACACGACAGGAAGUUUUAAACAGUCCACUUUUUCAGUACAAACUGCACUGCCAGUAUUUGUUGUUAUAUCUGCUGCACGAGUGGACUGCUGAGCCCUGCACCAAAGUUUUAGACAGUAAAGCAGAUGACAUCAAGCUAAAUUUACAGAAUGACAAUUACCAAACAGUGGAUGAGUUUGUCACAGAUAUUGAGCGCAUUUUUCAACACCGCACCUCAGAAGGGAAUAAUGACUUCAGCAGAAUGGAGCAUUUGUUUAAGGAGGAGUUUAAGACCAUCUUUAAACUUAUAUAACAUUAUGCCUUAAAUCACAUGACUGAUUUUAAAACUAAAAUACAGCUGUGAUGAAAUGAAAGAAAUGAGCGUUACAGUCAGGACCUUUGCCCACCCUGGCCACACACCACAGAACAAUUUAUACAAUUUAAACAAUAUUUUGACUGACAAAAGACUGCGAACCACGUAUUAAAGUGCAACGGGCCAGAUGCGGCCCACAGGUCACCUGUUGAGUACUUUGGUGAUUACUUUGUGAAGAAGAGAUGAGUUUCUACAACUUAUGAAAUGACAUCAUAAGUAAAUGAUCAUCCAGCCCCAACCAAAAAAUGGUAUCACUCCAGCUCACCAGAUGUCUUGUCCAUGAAAUCCUCCAUAUUCUCCUCCAGAGGCCGCCCUUCCUGGAAGAUGUUGAACCGCAGAAAGUCCUCCAAAGGAAUGAUGUUGUUGUUUGUAGUGAUGGGUAGGGGUGGGUGAAUCGAUCCUAAGGUAUUAAUAUUUCAGAUACUGAGGUUGUAUCGAAAAGGUAAUCCUAACAUAAAAAAAUCGAUACUAAUGUGAUUUUUAUUUUAUUUUAUUUAAUAAUUUUUGUUUUUUACUACUGUAGCUAAUAAUUGUGUAAUAUAAAAAGACGAUUUCCCACGCCUUGCUCCUCCCUGCUCUGCUGUGUUUCGUUGUCUUGUCAUCACGUGAUUCAGCUGCGCUGAAAUUUAUUUACGCACUUUAUUUACUUUUUCAAACAAUUGUUUGCACUUUGUUUAUACAUUCACUUAAAACAGUGUAAUGAAAGGUAAACAUUUUAAUUUGUUUUAUUAAUGUG